rnacentral:rRNA from 1 species
UACGUAGGGGGCUAGCGUUGUCCGGAAUCAUUGGGCGUAAAGCGCGCGUAGGCGGCCCGGUAAGUCCGCUGUAAAAGUCAAAGGCUCAACCUUUGAAUGUCAGUGGAUACUGCCGGGCUAGAGUCCGGAAGAGGCGAGUGGAACUCCUGGUGUAGCGGUGGAAUGCGCAGAUAUCGGGAGGAACACCAGUGGCGAAGGCGGUUGCCUGGAGCUUUGCUGACGCUGAGGCGCGAAAGCGUGGGGAGCGAUCCGG